UCCGAUUCCUACGGGAGGCAGCAGUGGGGAAUAUUGCACAAUGGGCGAAAGCCUGAUGCAGCGACCCCGCGUGAGGGAUGGAGGCCUUCGGGUUGUAAACCUCUUUCAGCAGGGAAGAAGCGGUUGGGUUUUCCUGGUCGUGACGGUACCUGCAGAAGAAGCACCGGCUAACUACGUGCCAGCAGCCGCGGUAAUACGUAGGGUGCAAGCGUUGUCCGGAUUUAUUGGGCGUAAAGAGCUUGUAGGCGGUUUGUCGCGUCUGCUGUGAAAUUUCGGGGCUCAACCCCGAACUUGCAGUGGGUACGGGCAGACUAGAGUGUGGUAGGGGAGACUGGAAUUCCUGGUGUAGCGGUGAAAUGCGCAGAUAUCAGGAGGAACACCGAUGGCGAAGGCAGGUCUCUGGGCCACUACUGACGCUGAGAAGCGAAAGCAUGGGGAGCGAACAGGAUUAGAUACCCUGGUAGUCCAUGCCGUAAACGUUGGGAACUAGGUGUGGGUCUCAUUCCACGAGGUCCGUGCCGCAGCUAACGCAUUAAGUUCCCCGCCUGGGGAGUACGGCCGCAAGGCUAAAACUCAAAGGAAUUGACGGGGGCCCGCACAAGCGGCGGAGCAUGCGGAUUAAUUCGAUGCAACGCGAAGAACCUUACCAAGGCUUGACAUGUGCCGGUAAAGUGCAGAGAUGCGCUCCCCGCAAGGUCGGUACACAGGUGGUGCAUGGUUGUCGUCAGCUCGUGUCUUGAGAUGUUGGGUUAAGUCCCGCAACGAGCGCAACCCUCAUUCUAUGUUGCCACCACGUGAUGGUGGGGACUCAUAGGAGACUGCCGGGGUCAACUCGGAGGAAGGUGGGGAUGACGUCAAAUCAUCAUGCCCCUUAUGUCUUGGGCUUCACGCCUGCUACAAUGGCCAGUACAAAGGGCUGCGAUACCGCAAGGUGGAGCGAAUCCCAAAAAACUGGUCUCAGUUCGGAUUGGGGUCUGCAACUCCACCCCAUGAAGUCGGAGUCGCUAGUAAUCGCAGAUCAGCAACGCUGCGGUGAAUACGUUCCCGGGCCUUGUACACACCGCC
rnacentral:rRNA from 1 species